UGUGUAGGUGGUUUGGUUAGUCUUCUGUCAAAACCUCGGGCUCAACCCGAGACUUGCAGUGGAAACGGCCAGACUUGAGGAUGCAAGAGGUAAAUGGAACUCAUGGAGUAGGGGUGAAAUCCGUUGAUAUCAUGGGGAACACCAAAGGCGAGGGCAAUUUACUAGUGCACUCCUGACACUGAAACACGAAAGCGUGGGUAGCAACG
rnacentral:rRNA from 1 species